CCUACGGGCGGCUGCAGUGGGGAAUAUUGGACAAUGGGGGUAACCCUGAUCCAGCGACGCCGCGUGAGUGAAGAAGUAUUUCGGUAUGUAAAGCUCUAUCAGCAGGGAAGAAAGAAAUGACGGUACCUGACUAAGAAGCCGCGGCUAACUACGGGCUAGCAGCCGCGGUAAUACGUAGGGGGCAAGCGUUAUCCGGAUUUACUGGGUGUAAUGGGAGCGUAGACGGCGAUGCAAGUCUGAAGUGAAAGGCGGGGGCUCAACCCCCGGACUGCUUGGGAAACUGUAUGGCUGGAGUGCAGGAGAGGUAAGUGGAAUUCCACGUGUAGCGGUGAAAUGCGUAGAUAUUAGGAGGAACACCAGUGGCGAAGGCGGCUUACUGGAAUGUAACUGACGUUGAGGCUCGAAAGCGUGGGGAGCAAACAGGAUUAGAUACCCGUGUAGUC
rnacentral:rRNA from 1 species